UUCUUGUUUGUCAGACUGAUUCCCUCUGCCUGCCUCUACUCAAAUGGAUAAUGGAAAAAGCCCAGCUGCUUGGAAUACAGGAUGAGUUUACCUGCUCGGUGUGUAUGGACACCCUGAGUGACCCCGUCUCGAUCCCCUGUGGUCACAGUUUCUGUCUAAAGUGCUUAACCAACUACUGGGAUCACAGCCAAGUGUGCAGCUGUCCACAGUGCAGACAGAACUUCACCAUAAUUCACCUCUGCUCUAUGAAGUUAUCAAGAAAUUGAAGAAGAGUGGAUUUAGUCAUCCUCUGUUUCAGAAUUAUGCCGGUCCCAAUGACGUUGAGUGUGACGUCUGUACUGGGAAGAAGUUCAGAGCAGUGAAGUCUUGUUUGACCUGCAUGGCCUCCUUCUUUCAGACUCACCUGCAGCCUCACUGUGAAGGAGCUGCCUGGAAGGACUACCAGCUGACUGAUCCAGAUAGGAAUAUAAAGGAGAAACUCUGUGCACAACAUCAGAAAAGUCUGGAAAUAUAUUGCAGAACAGAUGACAUGUGCAUCUCUGCAAAGUGUGUGGCAACUGAACAUAACGGUCAUAAAAUAGUUGAGCUGGAGACAGAGAGGGAGGAAAAACAGAAGCAGCUAGGAACAAUAGUGAGUGACAUCUACAAGAGACUUGAGAAGUAAGUGAAGGAGUUGGAGGAGAUGAGAUCUCUGUUAAAAAUGAAGUACAGGAAAAUGAGAAGAACUUCACUGGCCUGAUUUGGUGUAUUAAGGAAACUCGCAGGAAUUGACAUAAAGGAUGAGAGAACAAAAGAAAAGAAAAAUGAAGAAGGCCAAAGGAGUCAUGGAACAGCUGGAGAAGGAGAUCAAAGAGCUGAAGAGGUGAGAUGCUGAGUUCAAAGAGAUUUCAGAGACCAAGAACCAUGUCCACUUCCUGCAGGUGACAGCAACACUUCACAGAGAGUCUGAUUAGACUGGGGUGCAUGGGACGUGAGAACAUUUAGUAGGAAAUUCAAAUAAUCUGAGAAGUUUUUACAACAUUACAGGAACAGGCCAUUCAGCCCAACAGAGAGCAUCUUCCUGCAUUUAACAAAUACAAGGUGCCACUUUCACCUGCACUACAGGUGACUUUUCUCAUACAUCUACAGUUCUCUCUUCAGUUUAGAAGGUGACACACACCUUUGUAACUCCCUUCUUAUCUUUCAAGCCCGUCUUCCUUGCUAUGUCUUAAUCGCUGUUGGCUUAAAGUAAAACAUUCGAUAACUUCAGGAUUUCCUCACAACUCAAACCUCAAAGCCCACAUUAGUGUCUCUUUUAUCAACUCUGCUGUUUUGU